GCGAGUGUGGUGUCGUGGUUUGAGCGCUGGACUACAACUCUGGAGACCAGGGUUCGAUUCCCAGCGUGGGCA